GACGAACGCUGGCGGCGUGCUUAACACAUGCAAGUCGAACGGAAAGGCCCUGCUUUUGUGGGGUGCUCGAGUGGCGAACGGGUGAGUAACACGUGAGUAACCUGCCCUUGCCUUUGGGAUAACUUCAGGCAACUGGGGCUAAUACCGGAUAGGAGCUCCUGCUGCAUGGUGGGGGUUGGAAAGUUUCGGCGGUUGGGGAUGGACUCGCGGCUUAUCAGCUUGUUGGUGGGGUAGUGGCUUACCAAGGCCUGGACCGGUAGCCGGGCUGCGCGGGGAACCGGAGACGUUGGGACGGGGAUGCGGCCCAGACUCGGACGGGAGGCAGCGGUGGGGAGUGUUGCACAAUGGGCGGAAGCCUGGUGCAGCAACGCCGCGUGGGGGAUGACGGCCUGCGGGUUGUAAACCGCUUUCGCCUGUGACGAAGCGUGAGUGACGGUAAUGGGUGAAGAAGCACCGGCUAACUACGUG
rnacentral:rRNA from 1 species